CAGGUGACUCUUUGGACCUUGAUUAGUUGUUCAGGUGUGCUUGGUUAGAGCUGGAGCUAAUCUCUGCGGGACAUCGAUACUCCAGGACCAUCCUUGCCUACCCUGGGGAUUAUUAAAAAAUUCUUCUCAAACUAUUAUUUCACACUAAUCUAAAAUGGUUAUGGUUUAAAUAAGAGGUAUGGUUGGGGAUUCUUGGAUUAAAGUGUUGAUCCAGGAAAAACAAAACAUUUUUGAUCCAGGAUUACAUCUUACUUGUGAAAUCACAGUAUUUAGUAAAGGUGCUCUUUCAACGCUCAAUAAACCAGUAAACUUAAUCCCAGUCCAUCAGUUAUUGUACCUACAAAUUUACUCAGUUAUUCAAAACUGUAAGUGCUACCUGACCCCCAAGAUCAAGUUUAUCAGAUUGAACCUGUUUUUACUUGAAUGUUGUUUUGUAAACUACAGGUAAACAAGCAAUAUCUUAUUCAGUUAGGGUCAAGGUAUUCACAAGAACAUGUUAGGACUUAUUCAAGCCGUUGAUUUUGAAAACUUAAUGCAACCCCUCAUGCAUAGUUUAGAUCCUGGGCAAGGGGGUGUAAUCAUUAACCAGGAGAAUAAAAGGAGCGCUCAAAUCUCAAACUCUCAGAAUGAGGACUCCUAUGUGAGAAUGGCGAAAACAAUCUAUCUGGUUUUUGUCCUGGUGAUUCUGACCACAAUUUUGUGCAACAGCCCAGUCUGUUCACAAAGAGGACCUGGGCAUGGACAAGCCAUAUGCGGUUGCAAAAUUCAUCCUAGGAAAGGUCUACAAUGCGUAAGGAAACCCCAUCCUAAAACUUGGGCUGAAACUGUGCGGUGUAUUUGCACUAACCACAAAAGUUAUUUAAAUGAUGACUCCAAAAGGCUGUUUCAGAAGUACUGCAACCGAACCAUUUCUACUCCUUUGUGAUCUGAUGGAGGUUUGCAGUUAUCAGCGUAUAUUCAAGUCUAUAAAUACACACUCCACUCCGCAUGUUUAAAAUAAUCAUAAUCACAAAAAAUAUCACUGAUUUUAAAUUUAAGCUUGAUUUUUACAAGAUUGUUUCGUUUGCAUUUUAAAUCAACAAAAUAAAAGUAUGUAAACUAUUUUCUG